CCUACGGGAGGCUGCAGUGAGGAAUAUUGGUCAAUGGACGAGAGUCUGAACCAGCCAAGUAGCGUGAAGGAUGACUGCCCUAUGGGUUGUAAACUUCUUUUAUAAAGGAAUAAAACGAGGCACGUGUUCCUUUUUGCAUGUACUUUAUGAAUAAGGAUCGGCUAACUCCGUGCCAGCAGUCGCGGUAAUACGGAGGAUCCGAGCGUUAUCCGGAUUUAUUGGGUUUAAAGGGAGGGUAGAUGGGUGGUUAAGUCAGUUGUGAAAGAUUGAGGCUCAACCGUAAAAUUGCAAUUGAUACUGGCAGUCGUGAGUACAGUUGAGGGAGGCGGAAUUCGUGGUGUAGCGGUGAAAUGCUUAGAUAUCACGAAGAACUCCGAUUGCGAAGGCAGCUUACUAGACUGCCACUGACAUUGAUGCUCGAAAGUGUGGGUAUCAAACAGGAUUAGAUACCCGGGUAGUC
rnacentral:rRNA from 1 species